AAGAACAAAAUAUUUGAGUAUAUAUUUGAUUCUAAUGAGUUAUUUAAACUUUUAAAAAGAGGUUUUAGGAAGCUAAAGCCAUAUUUCAAAAAAUUCCUUGGUUUUCAUCUUAAAUAUUCAAAGAAGUAAAGAUCAAGGAGGCCACAUCAUAAAGAAUCAAGUGAAGAAGGUUAAAAGCUAACUCCAAGUCUUUACAUCAGAUGGCAC
rnacentral:lncRNA from 1 species